ensembl:lncRNA
AUACGUAUUUAUUAUGCAAAUAAACAACUAACCUACACUUACAGUAUAUUACAAAUAUUUAAUCAAAUGACUCUUGGAAAGAGUUUGGAAAGAGGAGCUUCAAGGUGCCCCUUGUCCAGAAUACCCACAAUCGACGGAAGAGGACUGGAGCACAACCCAAGACCCAUCUGGAGGACUGGGGAUAUAUACUCCACUCACACCAGUCUGAACAGGACAGCUUGUCCCAGGACCCAUCUCACCUAGCACUCACUCAUGUCUGUGGCAGACUGGGACAUGUUGCCAAACCCACAAAGCGGGUCCAGGCCUCAUCCAUGUGGCGGUGCUGGAACAAGGUCUUCCACUUCCUGGACCACUGGAGACGCAUCGACUCACCCAGACCUCAUACAGCAGAACAUCAAGAGGCACUCAAAACACCUGCAGUUGUCAGCUUUGAGCUGUGAGGAGUCGACUGAGGCAGCAUGCCAUAUCCUGUGUCAGCAGGUCAACUGUACUGUUAAGACCCUGGUAUGUGACCAUAAC